AGUUCCGAUGAGCCAGAUACAGUGUUCUGCUGGGAGAUUUCUUGCAGUGUGUUGCACAAUGCGGUGCGUUAGUUUUCUUUACGGGGAUGAAGAACUCAAUGCCAAAGAGACAACUAAGGAAGAAGGCCCCGAAGCAAAAAGCUACUUAGGUGUAAACGAAGAAUUAAAUUUUUUGCAAUCUCCAGUAGUGGAUGUGCAACACCAGAUAAUACUCUGCAAUAGGAAUUUUUUUUUUAUUCUUAGGUUUGAUCAGUCUUUCAUUCACUGAAACAUUUGAACAUUUUUUAAUCUCUUGCCCCAUGUUUAUUUUAUAUGACGACUUGAUUUUGU